AAGACACAUACAGCUCCUCUCACUCUAGCCAAGAGUGGAGCAGGGGGUUGCCACUUCCCUGUAGCCAGAUCCUUCCAUCUUAUCUGUGCUUUUUGUAUGGUGGGAGGGGAAAAGUGACGCUGCGCCACUGUAAGGCCUUUGGCGUCAGUGAGCAAAAAAUUUAAAGUGAAUAGAGUUAUGCUUAGGAGUGCUUGUGGUCCCUGACAAUUCUGGUAUAUCUCCCCCUCUUUUGUUUUUUUUGCAAAUAGGUUUUAAGAUGUUGAUGGGCCCGUUCAACAAUGGCCUGUCCUUGGGGGUUAUAUGGGAUUCCUGUUUUGUGUAUAAUAUCCCACUGUGAGCAAAAUUUUUGGGAGGUUUGACUAAUAUAAGCUGGGCCAUUAUCUGUUUUUAUACAUCGAGGGGUUCCCAUAAAGGAAAAGGUUUUAACAUAGUGCUGUAUCACGUCCUUAGCCUUUUCUCCUGAAUGUAAAGUAGCGGAGAUAAAACCAGAGAACGUGUCUAUACUGACAUGCACAAAAGACAGCUUUCCAAAACUAGGAAUAUGAGUUACAUCAGUUUGCCAGAUGUCGUUUGGCUGAAGGCCCCUUGGGUUGACUCCCAGAGAAGGGGAAUGGAUAAAAGGUGCACAAGUACGAC
rnacentral:lncRNA from 1 species